rnacentral:rRNA from 1 species
UGAGGAAUCUUGCGCAAUGGGGGAAACCCUGACGCAGCCACGCCGCGUGGGUGAAGAAGGCCUUCGGGUCGUAAAGCCCUGUCAGGUGGGAAGAAUCGUAAGGAAGCCAAUAACUUCUUUGCUUGACGGUACCACCAAAGGAAGCACCGGCUAACUCCGUGCCAGCAGCCGCGGUAAUACGGAGGGUGCAAGCGUUGUUCGGAAUUACUGGGCGUAAAGCGCGUGUAGGCGGCGAAGUAAGUCGAAUGUGAAAGCCCUCGGCUCAACCGAGGAAGUGCAGCCGAAACUGCGUAGCUUGAGUCCCGGAGAGGGAUGUGGAAUUCCCGGUGUAGAGGUGAAAUUCGUAGAUAUCGGGAGGAACAUCAGUGGCGAAGGCGACAUCCUGGACGGUGACUGACGCUAAGACGCGAAAGCGUGGGUAGCAAACA